ACCUGGGGUCAGCACACGUGGGGCUCUGGGUGGGGUGCUGGGCGGAACUGGCUUCCCGGGUCCUGAGCCUGGCGGAAGGACUGACGGGUGGGAAGUCCAGAAGGGGCAGCCGUGCCGAGGGUCGGGAUUCCGCGGACCGGGAGGCGGAAAUUGGCCCCCUGACGUGACCCCGGGCCGGACGAGUGGGACGCGGGCGGCCGUCCACUGCUGGGCGAGGAGCGCUGGACUCAAGAGGCCUUUUCUCUCCUGGGCAUGUCUCCUGGAAUUUGGGAACCCAGCCCGACUUCAUCCAGAAGGCAGCUCCAUUCUCCAAGGGUUGCAGAGGGGGUUUCUGCGGGCUAUGACAGUGCUGUAGGAGGCCAGAGAGCUCAGCUGCCUGGAGAAACAAGACCCCUCCUGGCCCAAGGGACUCCAGGGAGACCAAAGCAGCUGUUCGGAUGAGAGAAAUUGAAAAAAGAAUAAAAGAAUGGAAACGUAGGUCUCUCUCCAGAUUUCCUAGUUCCCAAA